UGUUUCUGUCAGCUGAGCAGAGAACAACUUCACCACCAUUAGUGACAGUGGACCUGCAUGGAAAGAGGGAUGGAGAGAGAGAAAUGGUUUGAGAUCAUUCUCAUUUAUUGCAACUGCACAAAAACUGACAGAGUGACCAUGCCAUUUUACCCUCCUGUGACUCACCUGCUGUUCUCCACGAGGUAGAGCACGAUCUUGUCCAGCACCUUCUCUAUGAGGGCCGUGCGGAUCCAAAGGUUUCUGACCACCUGCGGGCUGAGGCUGGGCAGCCUGGACAGUAUCCCUCCUGAGCCUUUCUGCACAGCUCCUCUGCCGGGGCGAAGCUCUUCCCCACCUUCAUGAAAAGCGCUGCUAUCUUGUUGCUACGCAGGAAUCCCGCCGCUCGCCGCUUAAGCCCAUGGAGAACGCACGCCUCCACCGCAGCUGCACACACACACACACACACACACACACACACACACACACACACAAAUAGGCACAGAAAUAACAGUACAUUUCAAAAUAUAGAUGAGAAACAAUCUGAGAGUUCACAGAAACUUGUCACCAUUAUGUUCUGCAUUUUAAUAUUUCAUUCAACUUUAUUAAAAAUGUAAUAUCACUGUAUGAUGCUGGUGGUGAGUUACAAGUUACAAUACAUCAUAUGACAUACGAUGAUGAAUGCACACCACAGAAGGCUGCUGAGGGGAGGACGGCUCAUAAUGUCUGGAAUGGAGUGAAUGGAAUGAUAUUAAACACAUGUAAACUACAUGUUUGCUGAGUUCAAUACCAUUACAUUUAUUAAGGUCCAGCCAUUACAAUGAGCCGCCAGAGUUGGUCCUCCACCAAUUAAGGUGUCACCAACCUCCUGUGAAGCACACAAUUAUAGUGUCAAUAGAAGGGGAUUCACAUUCUAAAAAAACACAUCUACCAUCAUACUGUGUUGUAAAAAAUAUGAUACAUGGUCCUAAAUAAAAAUCUCUCAAUACCCAUAGAGAAUCUGCAUAUUAUAAUACUUAGCUUCUGUGUAAUUGUGACUGAGCCGUAUGAUGGAGACUUCAGACAAAGCUCUGCAGCUUGAGGCUGUUAUGAAAGUGACUCAAAUAAGCCAAUCAUUUUUAUUACGUUAUCCAUAAACAUAAUUAUAUUUUCCUAAGCCAAGAGCUUAUCCAGUAAACACUAGUGCACACGCACCGUAUGCACACAUACACACGAACAGACACAUCUUUCUAUAAGGCCUACGUGGCAGUGCCUUGAGCGGUUUUGACAUUUGAGCUCUCUCUCAGGACUAAUCCCGCGGUUGUCAUGGAAACCCCUGCUGAUGGAGUGCACCAGCGCUGAGAAAGAAAGCAGUGGAGGGAGAAUCUUUCUCUGCCUGUGAUGUACUUUCAACCAACUUUGCCCACCGGCAGUACAAUACAGCUAUAACCUUGCCUAUAUCAAAAUAAUUUCUAUACCAUGUCCAUUAUUGCACUGAAUAA